GGUCACUGUUCAGCUUCCCUGAACCUGAAGUUCAUCAAUUCAGCCAGGAUGGUUGGUCCAACAGCUUCAUGGAUGGGGCUGUCUUCUCUCCCCAACGCACAGGACAUAGGGAAAUAAAGCUGAGGGCGAGUUGGCUUUCACGGUGUCCCGUCCAAGUGCUGCGUGGGCUGCUGUGGGGCUGUCCCGCUCAGCCAUGGAUCGUGUGUUAUGGUGCUGAAAAGCCAGUCUCUUACAUGUUACAGACCCAAGCUGUUGAUAAAAGUGUUCAAGGGACUGUGAAGUCUGGCACCUAAGAAGACCCACCUACCUGUCAGGAUGGGGGUAGGGGGUGGAGAUCAAAGACCAGAGUGGCCCUGCAGCAGGCCUCAGCCGUUCCUAAUGGAUAUCUUAAUAGACAAUGAAAGCAUGCCAACAAAUUCUUCCGCUGUGAAGAGGAGGCAGACAGAGGGUUGAGACCUUCAGCCCCCAGAACAUGGUGGGCUGGCAAAGACUCUCUGUGGUAUUGUGUUUCCAAUUGAAUGCAUCUUCCCUUCGUCUUCUGGUAACCUUUCUGAGAGAAGACAUACUUGCAGGUCUGGCAGGUCCUUCUCUGCUCCUUGGCCCGUGAGAACCACAACUGUCCACCCUCCAUGCGAACUAUUAGCAUUUCAUGAUCUAGAAGAACAAACUAAACAAUGAAGCAAUAAAAACAGGCAAAGUGCAAUCU
rnacentral:lncRNA from 1 species